UCCCGCACAGCCGCACCCUGCAGUGCAGUCCGCUCCGCCGCCCUUGUCUCCGACUCGACUCGAUGCGGCGGCGGCUAGGUUUCGAAUUCGACCACGUCGCUGCUCCGGCUGACCUCCGCCGUCCGCAGUCCCCGGCCCACCAUGCCACCACCACCAGCCCAUCCCUUCAUCUCCGCUCCAUCCGCGCUCAUUCCCCCAUCCAUCCAUCCUACAGGCCGUGGGAUAUUGAUUUCAUCCAAAUACACAUGGAGCAUAUGCCGUGGAUUUUCACUUUUUCUGUAAGCGGGAGGAUGCCGAUCGACCGGCUGUUCCCCAAGUUCAUCUCCUCGGAGGACCAUGUGGCUGGCUGAUGAUGCUUCGACCAAAACGAUGCAGUUAAUUAAUCCAGACGACUGAACUGGCCUGGUCUUGGUCAAUGCACGCUCAACACAAGACACCUUGCUACCACACGUACGCUUGCUUCUUAAUUUGGUGCUGGGGGCCGACAUCAUACAGAGAAUACAGUAUAGCGUGCAUGGAGGGGCUCGCAUUGGAGUUACAGCUUGCCGACCUGCUGAAAUAGAUUGCGUUUCGGUGCGUGAUAGCGCUAUAUAUGUUUCAGUGCAACUGGAUAAUGUUUUAUGUAGUGACAAUUAACAUAUUUCCUCUUUGACAAAGAAAAUAAAACACAGAACAUGUCUACUUGCACACAAUCUCGUGUGUGUAUAUAUACCCCAUGCAUGCGCUUAACUUUAACAUCAAACCAAUCAAAGGAAGCUUAUAUACCUCAAUAGAAGAGAGCCAUGACAGUCCUCUGGCUCUGUUCAUUCCUGUUCCUUACUUGUUCGCUCCUGCUAGCUCCUCUAUUAUGCCAAACUUCCCAUGCUCAGAGCUCAGCCAUGAUUGAAGCCAUCAGCUGUUCAACGUCUGGAAACUACACCCUUGCUGGUGCCUACGCCGCCAACCUGAACCAGUUCCUCGCAGGGCUUCCGGAGAACGCCGUCUCCAAGAACGGCGGCUUCUUCAACGGGACAGCCGGUGAUGGUGCUGCCACAGUGUAUGGUCUCGCCAUGUGCUUUGCGGACUACUCGCGCGCUGACUGCGGCGAGUGCCUCGUGUUGGGAAUAUGCCUUAGAGGCAAUCACGUAUGAUGUAAUUUCCAAUGUAUUCAUAAGAUUAUUAAGUUGUCCUUGUUUGAAUAUCUAAUAUGUAUCAUUGAAUAUGUGAUUUGAUUGUGGAACUAUGUAUUCAUGUUGUUCAUACUAAA